AUCACAGUGUGAUUGAUAUGACCACAAUAACUUUUCCUCUGACUUUCGAAAAAGCUAGAGACGCAAACACAAGCCUUCAGCAUUGUGACUUGGGCUUCCAGCAUUGUGACUCGGGCUGCUAGGAUCACUCCCCUGGCCUGCGUUACAGACUCUGUCUCAGUCUGUGAUGUCUUCCCUGCAGGGUCUCCCUCUCGGGGAAAGGGGAACUGAAUAAUGAUUUGAAAACUUGCUCAGCAGCAUCAAGCCCGCUUGACUGGGUUAGAAAGAAAAAACCAAAACAAAACAAGUGACUUCCCUGAAGUGACCAGUGACCGCAGUCGUGGCAGGAUUAUGCAGAACUGGAGUGGGCUGAAUGAUUGGAAAGACAGCCUGUCUGCUGGUUACCUAAAAUAACAUCGUUGGUGGAUAUCAGCAAAUCACACAUGGUCGAGAUGGGGAGACUGACAGUCAGCCCCUGGCAAGGUUUCCCUGUGACUUGGGGUUUGAGAGUCUCUGGAGGCUGUGGGAAGACAGAAGCAGAUACUGACUCAGUUCCUGCCCAGAACAAUAGUUGAGCGUAUGUGUGUGCAUAGGUGUCUGUGUGUAUUUGGUGUCCAGAUAUGCACUGUAUGUGUAUAUGUACAUUUAUGUGUGGUCUGUGUGUGUGUGCUGGGAGUAGUAUAAGUGUGGAGGGUGGUGUGUAUAUUUCUGCCCUGUGUGCCACGACUGUGGUGUGUAGGUGUGGUUGUGUGUGUAUUUGCCUCUGUGUGUGUGUGUGUUAUGAAGGUGCUGAGGCAAACAUUCUGCAUGAGACUGAGAAGAUGGUGACCAGGAGAGAAAAGAAUGGAGGCGACUCUCUCUUAGCCAAGCCCUUGAAGUGCAUUGGACAUGUUCAUCCCAGGGGGCCGAGUGAACAGGAGACUGACUGGGCCACCGAGCAACUGAUAGCACCUAGCGAUGGUCCCACUUGGUUGGGAAGGCUCCUCGCCUCUGCAGGCGUGUUUGCACCUCCGCCUCGGGGCCGCAGGAACCUGGACUCAGGGACUAUUUAGACAACACUGAGUUGGAGGAGAAGACUACCAACUGCUCUGGAUUGAUGACACCGUUUGGGCGUAAAAUGGGCAGAAGGAGGAUGGUAGGAAGAAAAGCAGGAGAGAUGUUGCUGCCUCUUCUCAGAGGUAACACGAGCUGCCUAAACCUCUGCUGAGGAGAUAGAAGGCAAGCAUCCUGGGAGAGGAACCCCUUGGGAGAGUUUGAAGGAGACUGAGUGUCAAGGAAACCCGCAAACUACAGCAGAAAGGCAAGAAUGGAUUGUGGCUAGCUGGACACUGGGCCCUCCGCUGGCACUGUGGUCACUGCUGGCCCCAGUGCCACCAAUGCCACAGGACACUGGAUGCCAUAGCCACCAACUCCACCAGAAGGAGUUCCGAUUAUGUUGUUCAGUCUGGAUUUAGAAGUCUCAGCUAGGAAUAGUGGCAGAAGUAAUUGAGAAGCAAGAAGUAUGAGGAUGGACGGGGAGGGAGCAAACCACUUACCCGGUCAUGGACGAUUUGCCAGGAGCUGGGCCUUUAAUCAUCAGUUUUCUAUUAAUUCCUGGAACCAGACCCUCCCUGGCACAAUGGAUACAAACCAGGACCAAUCAGGACCAAUCAGGAAAAGUCUGGAAGGGUCCCAAACUUGGAACUUCUGUGUCCUCUCCACAUGGAACCCAGGGCGCACUCGACCCUCUCAGCGCAUCAAUGUGUUCACCUGCCAGGAAGUUCACCCAAGCCUCAGUGUCCAGAGUUUUUCUUGGGGUUUCAUUACAUAAGCAUGGUUAACUGAAUCCCUGGCCAUGUGAUUGAACUCAGUCUUUCUCAGUUGAACCCACCCCUCUGGACUGAUAUCACAUGGCUCAAAGCCCCAACUCUCUAAGCACAUGGUUGAUCUUUCUGACAUUGCCAGCCCCCAUCCUGAAUCUAUCUAGGACCCACCAGGAGUCACCUCAGUAGCAUAAACUCAAGUGUGUUCCUGGGGGCCCACUGUGAAUAACAAAUCCCAAGAGUUUAGAAGCUUCAUCCCAGGAAUCCAGGACAAAGACCAGAUAAAUUAUUAUACAACAAUAUCCCAUAGCAUGGCUGUCACAAGGCUGAAACAUUUAAGCUGGAUCUGACUAAAGGCUAACACUGUGAUGGCUAGAGUUUCCCUUGGAUCCCAACCUGCUGUGAUCUUAGUGACAGCCUAGUGUGCUGUGUGGAGGAUUCUGAAGCCACUUCCAGGAUUAAUUGGAAGGAGGGACAUGAUCAACUAGUCAUGACAGCCCUGGAAUAGAAGGGCAUUGGAAGGGGAGAGUGAGAGUGUGCAUGUGGGGUACUUGCUAACGCUGGGCUAAGGGAUUAAAAAAAAAAAAAGGAAAAAUCAUUUGCUGUUUGCUAACGAAGACUUGCUCAUUAGAACAUGUAAGACCCAUCCCACUUCAGCUCCUGUCCUAAUGCCAUGUAGUGGGUGCCAUGUUUAACCCUUACCACACAAGAGGUCAUGUCUUUUUAUUUCUUCUCAAAAUCUAG
rnacentral:lncRNA from 1 species